UUCGCAAUGCCCGAAAGGGUGACGAAGCGACGCCGCGUGUGGGAAGAAGGCCUUCGGGUUGUAAACCACUGUCGGGAGUUAAGAAAUGCAAGAAUGUUAAUAGCGUUUUUGCUUGACUAAGGCUCCGGAGGAAGCCACGGCUAACUCUGUGCCAGCAGCCGCGGUAAUACAGAGGCGGCAAGCGUUGUUCGGAAUUAUUGGGCGUAAAGAGCACGUAGGCGGCUAUAUAAGUCGGUUGUGAAAGCCUUCCGCUCAACGGGAGAACAGCAUCCGAUACUGUAUGGCUUGAGUGUGGGAGGGGAGAGCGGAACUUCUGGUGGAGCGGUGAAAUGCGUAGAUAUCAGAAGGAACGCCGGCGGCGAAAGCGGCUCUCUGGCCCAUAACUGACGCUGAGUGUGCGAAAGCUAGGGGAGCAAACGGGAUUAGAUACCCCGGUAGUCCUAGCCGUAAACGAUGGGCACUAAGUAGAGGGGUUU
rnacentral:rRNA from 1 species